rnacentral:rRNA from 1 species
GAUAAACGCUGGCGGCGUGCCUAAUACAUGCAAGUCGAGCGAACGGACGAGAAGCUUGCUUCUCUGAUGUUAGCGGCGGACGGGUGAGUAACACGUGGAUAACCUACCUAUAAGACUGGGAUAACUUCGGGAAACCGGAGCUAAUACCGGAUAAUAUUUUGAACCGCAUGGUUCAAAAGUGAAAGACGGUCUUGCUGUCACUUAUAGAUGGAUCCGCGCUGCAUUAGCUAGUUGGUAAGGUAACGGCUUACCAAGGCAACGAUGCAUAGCCGACCUGAGAGGGUGAUCGGCCACACUGGAACUGAGACACGGUCCAGACUCCUACGGGAGGCAGCAGUAGGAAAUCUUCCGCAAUGGGCGAAAGCCUGACGGAGCAACGCCGCGUGAGUGAUGAAGGUCUUCGGAUCGUAAAACUCUGUUAUUAGGGAAGAACAUAUGUGUAAGUAACUGUGCACAUCUUGACGGUACCUAAUCAGAAAGCCACGGCUAACUACGUGCCCAGCGCCGCGGUAAUACGUAGGUGGGCAGCGUUAUUCGGGAAUUAUUGGGCGUAAAGCGCGCGUAGGCGGUUUUUUAGUCUGAUGUGAAAGCCCACGGCUCAACCGUGGAGGGUCAUUGGAAACUGGAAAACUUGAGUGCAGAAGAGGAAAGUGGAAUUCCAUGUGUAGCGGUGAAAUGCGCAGAGAUAUGGAGGAACACCAGUGGCGAAGGCGACUUUCUGGUCUGUAACUGACGCUGAUGUGCGAAAGCGUGGGGAUCAAACAGGAUUAGAUACCCUGGUAGUCCACGCCGUAAACGAUGAGUGCUAAGUGUUAGGGGGUUUCCGCCCCUUAGUGCUGCAGCUAACGCAUUAAGCACUCCGCCUGGGGAGUACGACCGCAAGGUUGAAACUCAAAGGAAUUGACGGGGACCCGCACAAGCGGUGGAGCAUGUGGUUUAAUUCGAAGCAACGCGAAGAACCUUACCAAAUCUUGACAUCCUUUGACAACUCUAGAGAUAGAGCCUUCCCCUUCGGGGGACAAAGUGACAGGUGGUGCAUGGUUGUCGUCAGCUCGUGUCGUGAGAUGUUGGGUUAAGUCCCGCAACGAGCGCAACCCUUAAGCUUAGUUGCCAUCAUUAAGUUGGGCACUCUAAGUUGACUGCCGGUGACAAACCGGAGGAAGGUGGGGAUGACGUCAAAUCAUCAUGCCCCUUAUGAUUUGGGCUACACACGUGCUACAAUGGACAAUACAAAGGGCAGCGAAACCGCGAGGUCAAGCAAAUCCCAUAAAGUUGUUCUCAGUUCGGAUUGUAGUCUGCAACUCGACUACAUGAAGCUGGAAUCGCUAGUAAUCGUAGAUCAGCAUGCUACGGUGAAUACGUUCCCGGGUCU